rnacentral:rRNA from 1 species
CUACGGCAGUGAAGUCAUUGAUGCCAUGCUUCCAGGAAAAGCCUCUAAGCUUCAGAUAGUCAGGAAUCGUACCCCAAACCGACACAGGUGGUCGGGUAGAGAAUACCAAGGCGCUUGAGAGAACUCGGGUGAAGGAACUAGGCAAAAUGGUACCGUAACUUCGGGAGAAGGUACGCUCUUGAUGGUGAAGUCCCUCGCGGAUGGAGCUGACGAGAGUCGCAGAUACCAGGUGGCUGCAACUGUUUAUUAAAAACACAGCACUGUGCAAAAUCGCAAGAUGACGUAUACGGUGUGACGCCUGCCCGGUGCCGGAAGGUUAAUUGAUGGGGUUAGCGCAAGCGAAGCUCUUGAUCGAAGCCCCGGUAAACGGCGGCCGUAACUAUAACGGUCCUAAGGUAGCGAAAUUCCUUGUCGGGUAAGUUCCGACCUGCACGAAUGGCGUAAUGAUGGCCACGCUGUCUCCACCCGAGACUCAGUGAAAUUGAAAUCGCUGUGAAGAUGCAGUGUACCCGCGGCUAGACGGAAAGACCCCGUGAACCUUUACUACAGCUUGGCACUGAACAUUGAACCUACAUGUGUAGGAUAGGUGGGAGGCUAUGAAGACGUGACGCCAGUUGCGUUGGAGCCGUCCUUGAAAUACCACCCUUGUAUGUUUGAUGUUCUAACUUAGACCCAUUAUCUGGGUUGAGGACAGUGCCUGGUGGGUAGUUUGACUGGGGCGGUCUCCUCCCAAAGAGUAACGGAGGAGCACGAAGGUGGGCUAAUCACGGUUGGACAUCGUGAGGUUAGUGCAAUGGCAUAAGCCCGCUUAACUGCGAGAAUGACGGUUCGAGCAGGUGCGAAAGCAGGUCAUAGUGAUCCGGUGGUUCUGUAUGGAAGGGCCAUCGCUCAACGGAUAAAAGGUACUCCGGGGAUAACAGGCUGAUACCGCCCAAGAGUUCAUAUCGACGGCGGUGUUUGGCACCUCGAUGUCGGCUCAUCACAUCCUGGGGCUGAAGUCGGUCCCAAGGGUAUGGCUGUUCGCCAUUUAAAGUGGUACGCGAGCUGGGUUUAGAACGUCGUGAGACAGUUCGGUCCCUAUCUGCCGUGGGCGUUGGAAGAUUGAAGGGGGCUGCUCCUAGUACGAGAGGACCGGAGUGGACGAACCUCUGGUGUUCGGGUUGUGUCGCCAGACGCAUUGCCCGGUAGCUAAGUUCGGAAUUGAUAAGCGCUGAAAGCAUCUAAGCGCGAAGCGAGCCCUGAGAUGAGUCUUCCCUGACGGUUUAACCGUCCUAAAGGGUUGUUCGAGACUAGAACGUUGAUAGGCAGGGUGUGUAAGCGUUGUGAGGCGUUGAGCUAACCUGUACUAAUUGCCCGUGAGGCUUAACCAUACAACACCCAAGGGGUUUUGUA